rnacentral:lncRNA from 1 species
GUUCGUUCUUAUGUUGUACUGUUAUACCACUGUCCCAGGUUAGGGGAGGGUUGGGAUCCCGCUAACUUAAAUUGUUUAACCCCGCCACAUUAUGUAUGUAUGUAUGUACGCGUACGGUGCCUGUUCUUAGCCAGGAGCCUGUAAUUCAGUGGUUGUCGUUUGUUUAUGUGUUUCAUAUUUGUUUUUCGUUCAUUUUUUAUUAUAUAAAUAAGACCGUAAGUUUUCGCGUUUGGAUUGCUUUACAUUUUCAUUUCGGGGCCUUUUAUAGCUGACUAUGCGGUAUGGGCUUUGUUCAUUUUUGAAGGCUGUACAGUGACCUAUAGUUGUUAAUUUCUGUGUCAUUUGGGUCUUUUGUGGAGAGUUGUCUCAUUUGCAAUCAUACCACAUCUUCUUUUUCAUAAAUCUGCUUCAUGAUCAUACAGACUACAAGAAACUUGGAUAUAUAUAGCAAAAUCGUGGUUCUAUGGCGGUAGAUAAGUAAAAGGGGCGGAUCCAGAAAUUUCAAAAAGAG